UGCCUCCUCUUCGUUUCGAAAAAAAAAAAAAACAUCUCCUUCGUGUCUGCCCCACCCCCUCCCUUUGUAUUCCGCCGCUGUUGAGCAAACAGACUUCGUCGUCAGUGGUGUGGUGUCAGCGCAGGAGGGCGAAGGAGCACGCGCGUAUUUCCUCUCACCUGCCCCCCCCCUCUUUGUCUUGUUCACUUAAUCAAAUCGCCGCCAUGUUGACCUGGUCGCUGCCACUGCUGCGCCGACGCGGCACGGGCCACGUCGUGAAGUACCUGGAGGGCGUGCCCACCCCCACAAGGCUUAUCGACCACCUCGCUGGCGCCGACCUGCAUGCGUCCGCCGAGUUACCCUUCUUUACUACCGUGCCGCGCUACGUGGACGUGCAGCGGGAGCAGCGUCUGUCUCGCCUGUACUUUCACCACGUUCUGUACCCCGCGGGAGGGGCUCGGCUGCCCUAUCAAGCAGUCGUCGUGCGCGGAGGACGUGCGGUGCGCUCCUCAGAGACGCAUCUACUGCGGGUAAAGAAGGCGACGAGUCGGAUGCCGCACCAUGCAGAGCAGCAGCAACAGCCCACCGCGGUCGUUGCCCCGGCAGCGCGCCGGCAAAACCCUCUCGCCGUCCCAUCCUCCCAGCUCGGCCCCUCAAGUCCCGCAUCCUCGUCGCCUGCCGCAGCAAAGGUGCCCGUCAUGACCGCCAGCACGACAGUCCCCACAGAGGACGUUCCAGCCGCGGCGUCGUGGGCGCGAGUGGACCCUGCGAGGCGGCCGUACUUUUCCGCCGGCACACCAUGCAGCCACGAACACCGCCGCAGCUCUCAUCGGCCUCCAGAAGACACGAAGCGGUCGGCGAGGGUGGUGGAGGACACGACGUUGGCUCCGUUGCGAGGGGUUCUGGAGCACUUCUGGAAUGAACCAAAGGCAACGAGGAACUCGUCGAGCCAAGACGCCACGAGUGGGCUGCCCUCCGUCUCCCUUUCGACUACGAACGAGAUGGCGGAGCGCGUUCGGCAGCUCCUUGUGUCUCCCGCAGCUGGGCUCCUGUGGAUGCCAGCCUCUGCGUCCCUGCCGAAUACCGCAGGUACCUGUGAGGAAAGCAAACACGCUUCCAGCAGGGUCUCUGACAGCUCAGAGCGGCGUUUCUGGACAGAGUUGAUGGCGCACGUACAGGAGAGAGUGUCAGCAAUGACGAUGCAUGUGGGCGGUGGCGAUGGCGGUGAGAUGAAAUCCCAUGCAGCCGUGCGUACGUGCUUGUAUGUGCAGACGCGGCUUCCCCCGUCAGCGACGGUAGCACUCCCGUUAGCGCAGGUGCGCGAUUAUGUCCACGACAGCAAGGAGACAGCAGGUGACCUCAGCGUGCACGAUGACGCGAGCGAGCAUGUGGUUUGUCGGCUUGCUGGUGGCCUGGAGCCGGUGGUGUCGUUUGCUGUGGGUCGCCCACUGACGCCGGUCGCGACCGACGGCGCUGCCGCCUCGCCGUCGGAUCGUGCCUUCGCGCACGUGACGUGCCUGACGCGACUCAACAUAUGCGUGACGUCGGCGCCGUUGGCAAAGUCCCCAGCGGUGGCCGCAGCAAAAAUGUCAUCUGUUACGCAUCCGAUGAAGGAAGCGGUGCCCCACUCCCGCGACAACACCUCUCCCUCUGCGGAGCCGUGGCGCUUGGGCGGUGUUGGGCUGGACCUCAUGACAACUCUGCACGCCCGCACUGUGGCGGAGCGCCACCCCGCGAAACCCUCGGCGCACACAAACGGACGCUUGGAGGCGCUAACGGAGAACGGCACCUCCAACGUGAAAGCAAACGCGGACAGCGCAGAAGCAGGCCGGUACGUUAUUGGCCGAACGGACGCAGAGACGUACGUGCUCCCGCAGCGUGAGCUGCUACUGACGCUGCACGUGCCCACUCACACAGAAGAAAUGUGCGCCGCGCAAAAUCAGGAGCGGCUGCGCCGGCAGGUGCGCAUAGGUCGAGCAAGUAGUGCAGCGAUGUCGGCAGCGUGGCCAACGGAGCAGACACGGCUCACAUCUUCGCGCCGCGCAGAGGGGCAGUACGCUAAUGCGAUGAGCGCGAACGCGACGGGCGUGCAUCACACAAACGCGCCGCUGCAAGCGACUACAACGCCCCUCGCAGCGUCUCCGUCGAUGCCACUGCUUCUGUCCUGCACCAGUUACGAAGUGCGCGCGCUUCCAGGUGACGUUGUGUACAUACCACGAGGGUGGGGUUUUGACGUGCAGCGCAUUGUCGGCACAGCCACCAUCGGCAACGGCAGCUGCGGUCGCAAAGAAGGUCGUGACGCGGAUAAGGUAGACUUCUACGAUCACCGCGCCGUUGCAGCGCAGAAAGGGACGUGGUCUGGUCGCCGGCCAGAAGCGCCGUCUAAAAGCAGGGAGCCGAGCGACACAGAGUCUCAUGUGGCGUCGACAGCAUCGGUGCAGCUCACCUCCGUCGAGGUGGACGCCUUGUGCCUCAACUAUCAGCCAUACCCUGAGCUUACAGAGGCGCAGGCGGCCGUCUACGUCGCGGCGAACUACGUGCACAGCGGCGUCGACGAGUUCUACGAACGCGGAGGCAACAGCAUCUAUCGCUCGUACCAGUAAAAAACGAGCGACCUUGUGACAGCGGCUCUCACCGAGGAAGCGUUGCCGGGGACUUUUCUAGCUGAGAAGCAACGCCUAUCUGACCGCUCUCCCCCUCCACUUUCCCUCUAUCGCCACUCAACACGCCUCACCCCCCCCCUCCGCAACCCCCCGUCGAUUUCAUGUCUUUGAGCUUGGGCUGACAAUGACUGCCAUGCUGGCGCAGCUCUGUCGACUUGAGAUCAAGGAAUGUUGGUUUGCGCGUCUGAAAUGCCUCCCUCCUGCUUUCCUCCUACGGACGCCUCGCUUCCUGCUCGGGCUACGCUGGUGAUGGCUGUGGCUGUGGCUGUUGUUGGUCAUCUCUCCCCUCCCCGUACUUCACCGUUGUCAGCGACUUUCGAAUCUUUCUGUUUUCCGAGCCACCGCUGUUUCGUUUGGAUGUUGUUGCCUCGCACUCCGCCCCGUCACUCACGCCUUCGCACGCAAUGAGACGGCACUAAAAAUGAAAACGCAAAGCGCAGCAGUGGCAGCCCGCUGAGCUUCUGCCACCGCUCUCAGCCGAGGAAGCACCCGCAUCAGCGUGUCCCGCACGUCGUCCUGCGUUCGGUUGUGACAAGCACAG
rnacentral:misc_RNA from 1 species